GCCUGUGCGACAUCAUCUUGCCUAAUUCUAUAGUCCUAUGCUCUGCCCUUUCAACUUUAGAAUUUGGGGUGUUGGUGGUGUUUAUUUUCAACAAGCUCCACCAUCCUUAUCUUUCUGAAGAUGCUCCUAAAGUCCCCACGCACAGCCCGUUUCAGAACCUGGGGAGGAAGAGAUACCAGCUGGAACCAGGUCAGCCAGCCCCUCCAUGGAGGAAGCACAGCCGGGCCUGUUUUCCCUGAGCUCCGGAUAACUUGGGCGGAGGCUGCGAGGGCGACUGGAGCCGCGGGGAUGGAGAGCGGGUCGGAGGAGGGCUCCUGCUUCCCAGCAUUGAAACAGGAGCCCUCUGAGAGAAAGAGAUAUUGCAUGUGGCUUCCCUGACGCCUUGGAGGGCGACGUGGAUGACACAGCAUCAGCCGUUCCCUCGCGGGGUGGGGACACGGUGGCGGUAGGCGUCUCCGCCAUCCGCGGGCCCUCUCGGGCCGGCAGUCCCCGCUGGAGCAUCAGCUGUGGGGCGUGGGGAAGGCAAGGCGGCCAACGUCGAGGCGCGUUGCGUGCUUGGUAGACGGAGAGCCGCCGCGGCGCGGCGCGGGCCCACCGGUCCCCACCGCAUCAUGCCUGGGAGCCAAGCGCCCCGCCGGGCCAUUUUAUAUUCACUGCCACACGCCUGGCACCUGGUGCUCUGUCAGUACUGGACAAAGGAAUGGAUGAGGCGAGGGUCAUUUUACCUGUGUGGCAGGUGAGCCGUUGAGACAGAGCAGUUGGGUGACUUCGUAGGCACACACCGUGGUUGAAAACGACUUUGCUUUUCACACUGCAGACCUUUUUUUUUCUUUUUUUUUCACUAUGUGGAAUGGGAGUAAUCAGAUCGGUGUCGUGGGAUUAUAGAGCAUGAUAUAAAACACUAUAAAUACCCCAUAUCUGGCCAUGGUAAAUAUCCAGUAAGCAGCGUGGAAGUAUAUUUGUCAUCCGUGGAGACUUCUUUUGGCCCCUACCUUUAUUUUUGGGCAGGAUCAUCCCAUGAAUUAGUAACCUGGAAAUUUGCUAGCAGCUGAAUCUUUAAAAGAAUGCUGAAUCUGUGUUCCUAUCUUUGUUUUACUAUCUAUCAAGUGAUUCAAGUAGUAAAAUUUGUAAAAAUCAGUUCAGCUCUACCCUGGGUGAGUGGUUAUGUCUGGCAAGGUUUGAUUAAACAGUAUUUGCAUCUUCACUUAAAGUCAAGGAGUAUUGUGCUGGAAAGGAAAGGGCCUCAGGGAUCACACUUCCUUUAUCCCCCUUACAUCCUUUUAAUUUACAGGUGAGGAAAUGAGGGUGGCAGAGGGGCAAAGGUAGAGCUGGGCGCGGAUUUGGGUUUUGAGUGUUGGCUGCCCUGAGAUGUCAGCGCACCCUGCCAAUUCUGGGAGCCGGGGUUUUUGUCCUCCAUGGGCUUGUCUUAACACUAGCGUGGUGGAGCCACAGUUGCUCCUGCUAUGAUGUUAGCGAGCAGAUUAUAUCAAUAAUCCACCACAGGCUGGUAAAUCAAAAUCACACUCCUGUUCAAACACUCUCAUAAAAGGAUCGUAUUCACGGUAGAUAAUUGGCAAGUGUGCCAUUACUCCAGGAUUACACAGGAAAUAGUCCUAAGGGUUAAACAUUAGUGUUCCCAUUAGAUUUCUGAACUAUUUUGGUGCACAUAGGACUUACAUUCACUGAGGCAAAAUCUAGAUGAACUGAAGGGGGAAAAAAAGAAAAAUAGAAAAGAAAGUCAAAUAAUUUCUUCCCUGAAGUCUGAGGUGACCAUUGUAGAUAGGUUACUAUAUAGCUCCUCCUAGAUGGUUUUUUUAUUGGAUGUAGCAUGUGCUGCAAAAAUGAGAUCUGUUUGUGGGCAAUAGACACUUUAUAUGCCUUUAAUUUAUACUGUAUCUUUCCAAAAUGUAAUAUGAUACGAUAAGUCUUUUUGCGUAUGUUAAAAUAUUCUUUGACAUGAAAAUCCUAUUGUUUUGGGGACCAGGUCAAAGGCUACCGUCUUCAUUACUUUGCCUUCCUGGGACUCUCAUAGGAAAGUCAGGAAAGAUACUUUCUUAGGAUAAAUGAAGUCAAUCUAGGAUUAAAAUUUUUACUGGAAAUUGUAACUAUGUAGUUAAUAGAAAUGGGUUUAUUUUUUGGAUAGCAUGUAAUCUACUGUCUUUUUACCACAAACAAGUGAGAGUCAAACUUGGGGUUGCAGGUAUAUCCAGACCCUGAGUUUGAUCCUCAGCACUGGAAAUAAAAAAAUAAGGGGGGAAUUAAGGGAAAUGUUUUUAUAGUGCACUGUGUUGUGGAUAUUCCCAGUGGCAUGAGAUGUUCUAAUCAGUGUCAUGUUAUUUGGAUAUUGUACAGCAGUUAUUCCCCAUCUUUUCAGACAUAAAGACCUCUUUUAACAUAAAGAUAAAAUUUCCAAACCAAGUAUGAUUGAAUCAUAUUUUUAGAAUGUUUGGAAGCUUCAAUGACAAAAAACUUUUAAUAACUUUUUAAUUAUAAUGUUCACUUUUUUUGUUUUGUUUUGUUUUUUUGUGCCAGGGAUCGAACUCGGGACCUGGUGCUUGCGAGGCAGGCGCCGGAACCACUGAGCUAAAUUCCCAGGCCAAUAACUUUUUAAUUAUAGCAGCAUCUUUUUUACGCUUGCAAAGUUAUAGUACAUAUAUGUGUAAACUUGAUGUAGGUGCUUGCUGAAUAGAUAAAUAAGUGAUUCCCUUGAAAUAACUCCCUGGAGGCCCCUGCCCUUGAGGAAGGCAGGUCUUGAAUAUGAAUAACUCCCAGGUCUAAUGUCAGGAAAAUAAUGAUCUGUUCUGAACUGCAGGUGGAAUUCAUUAACUCCAGGAAUGACUACAGUCACCAGUCACAGAGGAGCUGAAGGCCAUUGUGUGACAAGUUAGGAAGAGGUUUCUGCUCCCACCUGCUCGGCCACUGGCAGCCAUGCAGCCCUCAACAACGUCUCCGUGUCCUCAUUUCGAAAGAGAACUAGAUUGAAUUCAUUACAUGAGAAGCAUUUCAGCAUACCUCUGACAUAGGUCCCUUGGCCUUUUUAAUUAUCUGUGGUGGUCUAUUAGAGAAGGAACUAGAUUCAUCUAGAAGCCUAAGUCCUAAAGCCGAGCCCAAUCUUGAUUAUGGUUAAUGAAAUACUUUAUGCCUUGUUUUUUCCAUCCCUGGAAUGGGCAGAGUGUAUUUCUUGUAACAUAGUCUCAGGAAGUGACAUAAUGAUGCCCACAGGCAGUAUUUUUUUUUCUCUUUUUAAUCAGCACAAGCAAACAGAAAAACCUUUGUGAGGAUAUAAGCUAUUGUCCUUUCACAUGAAGGAAAAGUACCAUAAGUCUAGGGGAAGUCUGAGCAUCCUGAAAGCUGCUUUAGGGCAGGCCUGCAGCUGCAAGACCAUCCAGUGGAGUGAGGCCUUCUUCCAGGCCUUCCUUAACCAUUCUCCUGUGGUUGUAUUUUCUUCUUUUUAAAAUGGAUGCCGGGAGCAUGUUGUGGUUAUUUACCGGUGGUGCCUCUUCUGUCACUAUUCUUGGUUUCUGACAGCAGUUGUUGCUGCUUAACUUCCCAAGAUGGGGUGGGAGAGGCAGCUGUCUGUCUCUGGUCUGAUGUCUGCAUGUUAUCUGAAGGGAGAGACGUGGCCAGAUGUGGUGGUGCCCGUCUGUAGUUCCAGCACUCUGGAACCCUGAGGCAGGAAGAUUGCAAGUUCCAGCACAGCCUGGGCAACUUAGUGAGACCUUGUCUCAGAAUUUUAAAAAUGUCGGGCGUGGUGACACACGCCUAUAAUCCUUGCACUGUGGGAAGGCUGAAGCAGGAGGGUAGCUGUGAGUUGGGGGCUAGCCUGGGCCACAUAGCGAGACCCUGUCUCAGUUCUACCUUUUUCUAGGAGCAGAUAUUUUAUUUACACUGUAGGCAGUGUCUGCAUAUUUCCCAGAAGCAUUUAAUGUCUUUGUUUCAAGCUUUUAUAGCUUUUUCAAGUUGCUGCAGGGAACCUGCAAUAGUUUCUUAGCAAAGGAAAGUGGACAGUAAGUACCUGCACGCUGAGCCCAGGUACAAGCAGGGCUUGGGAAGCCAGUACCCCUAAAAGAUCAUUUUGUUGUACAAAUGCUGAAGCUGGAUUUUUUACAACACAUGCCAAAAGAAUGACUUUCAUGAAAUGGACCUAGGCAAAGAGGUGGCAGGUGGCUAGGGUCAGCUGGCCUCAGUUAAAGUGCUGUGGCCAUCUGUAUAGUAAGACCGGUACCUCCUCCGCCUGGUACUCAGCUGGGUGAGGCGCCACGGCCCAGAUCACAGGCCCUGGUUACUCCUGAGGGACACAGACCCCAAAGCUUUCUCCGGGUGGAAGCCAUCCAAACAUAACUUCAGGAAUUCCAAAGCAAUGUUAUUGUUCCCAGUCUAGCAGAAGUCUGAGUUGAAAUGGGUCCCCAUUAGUGCCUUCCUUUUAUCUUUUAUUGAUGACUGUAAUCACAGUUUUUUAAAAGAUAGAAGUGAGCUAUAAGUGAUACCUUGAGGAUUUUUGUUUAUUGUGAAGUAUAGUUUAAUUGUCUGGGGGUUUUCUCCUUGACUAGCUUGCUUCGGGUCCCACCGAGUAGGUAAUAUGGAGAAAAUGAGAGAUGUCUGAGCUCUUUGUGAGAGAUGUUAUUUGAGGGGAAGGGGGUGUGAAUAUAUAAUAAACUUAGAAAUAACAGGUAAAGUUUUCUCUGAACCUACCUACCUUCUUGAACAGGAGAAAGGGUGAUUUUUAGGUGUACUAGUGCACAAAAUAAUGAAUAAGAGUCUCUAAAGACAUUUCAAUCUAUAAACAGCAUAAAUAUCUUUAUUCAAAAUGGAUUGAGUUCUGAAGCCUGAUGCCUUCAAGAGUACAGUAUUAACAAGCGGCUCUUAAAAGCCUGUCGUUAAUCAAGCAUGUGUUACCCUCAGAGUUUUAUUAAAAAGGUAUGCAUCGGUUCACACCCUCCUUACAGGAGGGUCAGUGUAACAGAAACUUGACAGACAUGUUGAGGAGGGGAAAGAGAUCAAACCACCUUGGCACCUGGCCUCUUCCUUUCACUUCCUUACCCAGCUCUGCCCCUUUGAGAUGUUCUUCCAGAAGGCAGAGGAAGCUGCUGCACUUGGGGUCAUCACCCUGGAUCUGGCGGCGGGAGUGGCCCAGCACUGGGAGUUCCUUCCCCAAAGCCUGGAGCUGACUUGCCACUUUUAGCUGUUGUCAGGAGGUGGGCAGUACUGUUCCAACUUUCCCAGAAGGCCAGGGAAGAGCAGGCAGGAGCAGGAAGGGACUGAAACUGCAGUGGCUUCCUUGAUGCUUCUCUCUGCCCCUGGGGUGUGGGGAGCGAGGGGAUAGGAAGUUGGAAUCCGGAGGAGAGGGUUGGGGGUACAGACCCGGCUGUGGUUAGUAAGCUGUCAUUUGACUGUUGGUUUCUUCUCUUCAGAUGUUGGCAUUCGGGGAAUGCAUUUGAUAAAUUUAUAGUAUGCCAUCACGAGUAUGAUGAUAUGCAUGUGUAUUUUGGGGUGCCAGAUACACAGGCAAAUAAAACUUAAGCCAAAUGCUAAGGUAGUUACUGUUUUACUGAUGAACUGAAACUAGCCCAACUGGCCCAGUUACUUGAGUCGUUGGCUGAAAGUACUCUAGUUAGUGAUUCUUGUUUGGUAUCCCUAAAAACAAAAAGCACUGGAAAGGUGCAGCACUGGAUGAAGGAAGGCAAGGCUGUGGCUGAGCUUCACUCUGUGGUGCUGGGAGGAGAGGUUGGAAGGAUGGGAGUCACUUUGCCUUGGCCUGACUCCUCCUCUUCCUCUCUGGGCCUGGAGCUGCAGCCUCAGCCUUCAGAGUGGCUGCCUGAUGCUAGGCCCACGGCUGCAUUUCAGUGUCUCUCGCCAGUUUCCAGUGUCAUCAGUCAUCACUUCCAGAGUUCCUUUUCCUUUUCAGGGGUACCCAGUCUGACCGUUCAGCUCCUUUUCAGUAGCCCUUCUCACUCACUUAUGCCCAGUCAGGAAGAUUAAUAAUGUGACGUGAUUUACUGUCACUGAAAAAGAAGCAUUAGUUAGCUAGACUUUUACACCUCAGUCAGAUGGUAUUAGACACCCUCUGUGCACUUUAACUCAAGGAUGUUAAAGACCUAAAUCUUUGAGGUAAGGAAAAAAAGGAAGAAAAAGGACAGGCACUUUUCCAAUUGAAGCUGCAUGUUGGUCCAUGUUAAUUAGGCAUUUGUCCCUUGGUCUUGAUGUGAUAGAAAAUGCCAGUUACUGUGGUAUUUAACUGACAUCAAACUCCUGUCCAAAUAAUUCAGUUGGGCCCAGCCUUCUCUCUUAAUUGGUGGGAAGGAAAACUUCGGCACACACCCAAAAAAAAGAGGAAACUGUUACUUUCGUUGGACAUUUAAAAAUUUUAUUCUGAAGGGGCUGAAGAAUACGUGUUUAUUUUUUAAAUUAACUGCCCAUUUGAGCUUUUAAAAAACAGUAACAACCAGAAUCUCCUCUAAAACUCGAGCCCCUCGAAAUGAUUAGCUUUGGUUAAGUCUUCAGUAAAUGACAGUUUAGUAAUUAUUGUUAGCCAAAGUCAAAAAGUAGUUAUUGCUGUCCCCUAUAAGUUAUGUAUGUAUUCUGGAAACUGACAAUGUUCUAGGCUACACGCAGAUUUUUAAAAUCAAUACUGGAAAUUCAUAAAUAGGUUAAGGUACCAAGCAAUUUAAAAACCAAUAUUUUGUGGCAUAGUAAAAGAAGAAUGGCAUGAUGGUUUGGUAGGAGUAAUUAGAGGAAACAUGCCUUUUUUUAAAAAGCAACUUUUUCCUAGGGGUUAGAGAAGGUAAUCCCUCAGUGACAAGAGUAUAGUUUUCCUUAGUCAUAAGGUAUCUAAAACAAUUUCAAAAAUAAUCAAAAGAUUUUUUUUUUUCUAACCAGGGCUAUACCCUUAUUCCACUUUCAACCUCACUCUGUGUAUGGUUUCUAGCCAAAGGUUCACACAUUGGUGAGUGCUUCAUUUUUAGCUCUGAACUGCCUUUUGGUCCCUGAAUGAAUUUAAUAUGUUAACACUCCUGCACAGCCCAGAAUUGCUUGGCUGCCCCUUGCCCUGCCUGCCUGGUACUGGCUGAAAAGGUACCAUUGUUUGUUCUGCAAACACUGGGUGAUGUUUGUUUCCAAGGUGACCGAUUCUAUUGCUGCGCUUUAGGCAAGGGUGGGUAAGGAAGAGAGAAAGUUGCCUUUAAAACACCUGAGAGCAUCCCAUUCUGAAUAAUCUGUGUCUGUGUAUAUGUGUAAGUUGAAAUUUUAUUUUAAUUGAGGUUAUUGGAGAAAAAGGGGUAGUGUGGCAAUGGAAGAAAAAAAGAGCUCUGAUUCUUAAUUCAAUACAGAGUGAAUGUAAUGAGAAGAAGUAUUAGAAUUACUAGAAGUUAGCUGUUGACAUUUGGAAAACUAAAGAGGGGAAGAAAAAUAUUUUAGAUAACUGAAAUGUUUUCUUUUUCCUUGAAAUAGUUCUUGGCUAUAAUAUAUAUGGCUGUUGAGGUAAAUGUUUCAGAGUAUAAAUAAAAUCAGUUAUGAUAAGGUAGAUGGGCCUUCAAAGAGGUGUGAGAGAACAUGAAAUACAGAUGUUUCAGUUUUAAAUUCUGUACAAAACAAUGUUUUUAGAAGAAUCUGUGGAGCCAUUGAGGUUUAUUUGUGUAAAAGAAAAAAAUUCCAAAGAGAUGACAAAAUAGAUGAAGAGCAUCUUUUCAUGGGCAAUAUGUAUUAUUAAACUGGAAAUUUGGAUUUUCACAUCUUUCUCACAAGAGAUUUUAGAUUUCAAAAUAGAAAAAUAAAAUUACUCUUGUUCUAACCCCCGCUCCCUUUAUAGUACAUGGAUGCCGUUAGCAGAACUUUGCCUUUUCACUCCUAUCGGGUUUAGUACAGUUCAUGCACAGGUUUCAGUAAACAUUAACUACUUUUAUCAGGGCUUGCAGUGUGCUGAAUGGUUAGCAAAGAGUGUGCUGUAAGAGACAGAUGAAAUUGAGAGAGUCCAAGGUCACAUGGAUUUUUUUUUUUUUUUUAAUUAUGGAGAAUUUAGAGGAGAGAAAUCAGGUUUCACACUUGGAACUGUCCUCUCUGUGGGCCCACUACAAGGCUGCUUUGCCUAACAUUUUUACAUAUUGAGACUCAUACAGGUUUGUUCAGAUGCUCCACCUGAGUGGCAAGGCAAGUAAUUUUGAUUGCUUUUUCUUUCCUGUCAUAUUUUUUUAAAGGUCAUCUGUGUUCAGGGCAUCUUCUAAGAUUAGUCUCAAGGCCCCCUCAAAGAGUUAAGGCAGCAUGUGUCAUGGUUAUUCUGAAGUUCCUUCUGGAAUCUCACUUUAUUCCUUUCUCAAGGAUAAUUCGAGCUGGCCGUCUGAUUGUCAAUUUGCUUCCCACAGUCAGCACAGUAACUCCGCAAACCAAGUGCUAGAAUAAAGUGUUGCCAAAUAUAGAAUAAAAAUGCAAGUUUUAGGUAUCCUGUAAUACUCCCGAACUUUUGCCUGCGUGUCGUUCUGGAAGACAGGACUGUGAUGGGUGCUCGUUUUCGCAGAGAGCGUGCCCGAUUCAGACUCGACUGGGAGGUGCGAGGCCGAGACAGCGGGGCCGCGGCCCCGACCUGCUGCCCGCGUGGGGCUGGGGUUUCGCCUGCGCCGGCGCCCGCAGGAGCCAGCUUGGGCAAGCUCUUCCGAGACAAUGUCCUUUUAAACUCCAAGGCCUCAGUUUAAGCUUCCCAAGUGCUGUGGGAUCCUGAGCUCUCGCCAGGUUGCUGCGCGCCGCCGGACCCUGCAGCCCUGGAGCUCUGGCAGGUGGCCCGCCGGACGUGAGAAGGACGCCACCCCCCAGAGACAGGCUUGCUGGGGGCGGCCACUGUACUCCGGGAAGGCAGUCGCAGCAGCUACUUGUUCGCAUAGAGCAAGGCGGACGGCCGGUCAGCGAGGCUCUGGUAGCCAGAGCUGCUCCGCCGCUUGCUCGGCCGCUUGCCCCACCUUGGCUCCCGUAGUACGCGCCCAGCUAGUGGGCUGCGGGGCCGUCCAUCAGGAUGGCGGGCGCUGAUUUGCCGGCUGGCCGUUGGGGCGGGAUGAGGGCGGAGCUCGGCGGCGCUGGCGGCGGCCUUCGCCUUCUGCGGCGUCUUUCUCAGACCUUGACGCGCUCUCCUGGGCGGCAGCUGCGCUGGCCCUUUGGCUGCUCGAGCAACAGCCCAAUGACACUGAAGGUUUUCAGGAACCCCUUUAGCCGCUGGGUUUAAAAAAGAAAAUUCUCAGGGGGGAAUUAUAAAAAUGAGUGUACCUUGAGCGAGUCCCCCUCUUUUGCUAAUUUACCUCCAGCCCACUUAAGUGUUCAGAAGUUCAGCGUAGGCGUGAACUUGCCCGCUAGCGUUUUGUAUUUCUUUCCCAGAACAAGCCCUCGUUAAAAACGUUGGUUUCCCUGCUGGCCGUUUUGGGGUGAAAGCAGCACAUGGCCUGCGAGUGCCCCCCGAAGCCUGCGGCGGGAUGCAGAGGGGCCCGGGGGUGGCCAAGCCGCUGCCCUUCCGGACCCUUCCUCAGAGACCUUGUCUGAAGUGGCCCACACACCCUCCUUGGUGCUGGGCACUCCCUGCCGUGCUCCAGGUGGAGCCGUGUGCCCGUCUGCCCCUCUCCUGAGAGUGCAGCCUGUGUUCCUGCCUUGUCCGAGCGCUGUUGCCGGUCUCUCCUCCAAGAUCAGCACCAUUGGAAAAGUGAGCCCAUUUACCUGGAUGCCACAUCUUGAUGUUCUCUGUACUCAAAGCACAUCCCCGUGGGGACAACAUCAGCCCUGCUCCUGAUGGCCAGAGGCCACCUCCCGUGGAGAUACCUUGUUACGGUGUACCCUGUCCUACCUGCGUCCUGGGGUCAGCCUUGACCCUCUACAGGUGCUGUAUGAACUGGCAUCUCUGUGUCAUGUGACAAAGACGACCCCGCUGGAGCCAGGGGACACCCACAUUGCCCCAGGGAAGUGUCCCCAGUUCUGCAAGGCACUGUGGUACUGUAGAACCAUGUCAGUUACAUGGCCUGGUCUCGCCACUCUGGGACUUGCCUCAUUUUUGCUUCACUGGCACAAAACCUUUCCCAUACCUUACAAGUCAGGCUCCCACUCCAGGAGAUUCAGAUUGAGCGCCUCUGGGUGAAGGCUGGGAUUGCAUAUUAGGGUUGGAAACUUCUGAUGAGACAGAUGAGUACAUUUCAGCCUCUGGGAUUUUCUGAAACCCUACUGCUAAGAAGGUUAGGAAAUGAUAAGGAAACCCUGAAAUUCUCCUAUGUGAUGCUUGGUCGCUGCAAAGCUGAGCUGUUAAGCAAGGUAUUGUGGGACCUGUGAUAGAACCCUAUAGGCCUUCGGCACAGGCAGGUGUAAAUGCCACUGAUUAAUUUUUUAUGAAGUUGGAGCUCUGACAAUUAUCAGGGAUGCUGAGUAGCUGGUACCAGAUGUGUCUUUUGUUGGGACAUGGAGAGACAGUGUCACAGGUAAUCAGGCUACAGAUGUUUAAUGCCUUGCUCUGAGGCUGUGGGUCUUGGGAUGCCGAAUGUUUUCCUUACGAAAGGAGGAAAGGGUGCACAUAAUGGUUUCUAGUGUGCCUUUCCCUCGCUCGGGCUCCUGGAGUAUUAUCUUCUGUGGAGAUGUUGAUUCAAUUAUCAUUAUGCCCAGCUCCUAUGAGGAGAGGGUAAAAUGGUACGCGGGGCCUCUUUAUCUAGACCGUUUUGCCAGUUUCUGAAGUGACAGCCUGUCACUUCUGAAUUCUAACUGAAUUCAGCCCUUUUUUCACUCCUGCACUGUGAAACAGCAGGAAAGUCAGCCGCUCAUCGUGUCGGGUGCAGACUUUACAGCCUCUGAACAGCCUCUGCUUUUGCAGUCCAUGAAUGCACCAUUUGUUGUUUUGAGCACAACUGUUGGAUACAACUGGCCUCUCAGCCCACUCUGCCUGGGACCAGUGUGCAUCACUGUGGCCUUUUUUUUUUUUUUUUUUUUUUUUUGGCAUAGGCCAAAUUUUUGUUUUAAAUACCACCAUUUUGUCCACAUUAGAAUUUCUUUGACCCAAUUUACAUUUUGCAAAAAUAAGGUUUUAGGGCCAGGGAUUUAGCUCAGUGGUUUCACCGCCUGCUGCAGAAGCGCAAGGACCCGAGUUCAAUCCCUGGUACCAAAAAAUAAAUAAAUAAAUAAGGUUUGAAUUUGGUCAGAAUUCUCUAGUGAUCCUGAAUAAGUACUUUAGUUUAUUAAAGGAAGAGACUGUUUUGUGGCCUUGUUUUGCACACAGGCUUUAAAUUUUUUUUUUCAAAGAACAGUGUAACUUUGAAAUUAUAUUUUAAAUUGACUUGAACUGUUUUAUUUUUAUUUCUAGGUAAUUCAUUGUAUUUCUAUUUGACCUUUUUUUUUUUUUUUUUUUGAGACAGGGUCUCACUAUGUAGUUCAGGCUGGCCUCGAACUCCUGGCAAUCCUCCUGCCUCAGCCUCCCAAGUGGUGGGAUUACAGGCAUGGGCCACCACGCCUGGCCUCCAUUUGACCUUUACACAUCAUCUCUUUGUCAUUAUUGUCUUCAGUUUAGAAUUUAAAGUAGGUCUCAAAUGUUCUUAUAGCAAAAUAUGAAUAUGGGAAGUAAUAUGUUAAUUUGCUUGAUUUAACUAUUUCAUAAUAUAUAUGUGUAUACUGUACAUAUAUACAAGGUUUUUAUUUCAGUGCUAAGGGUAGUGUACUUAAUGGCUCUACCACAGAGCCACACCCCAACCUCACACAUUUUUUCAACUUUAUCUCAAUUUAAAAUGUAUUAAUUAAAAAGUUAGAGUUGUCAAAACCAAACCCUGCAAUAUAAUACUCUCAAAUAUUUCUAGAGUAUUUGUAGGUAACUUUUUCUCCUCUUGAAACAGGGUCUCCUUCAAACUUGAUACCAUUAGCGUUAGAAUUUUUGUUUUGUUUCUCAUGCACAUUUUUUUGGCCCUGUGUAAUAAUAGGUGUGUUAUAUAGUUGUCUACUGUAACAUUAUUACUUCUUUACAUAUUUUAGUGGAAAGAGCAUAUUAACAUCUUUUUCUUCUGUGCUUUGCUUCUUUAACAGCUGCACAAAAUUGUUGUAAUAUUUCUAAGCCUCACCUGGGCUGAGGAAAUGAAUUUCUGUUAAUAUGGCCGUAAACAUCCUAUAGCAACCAGUUCCGCAGACCUUGACAUCUAGAUCUUCCAUAAAUGAAACAGUCCCUCGCUGAAAAUGCAGAAGCUUUCUGUAGUUGAGUUUUUAUCUGUUGUCCUUCAAGCAGAGGCUCUGGGUUGCAUUUGUGUUUUUGCUAGAAUUGGCACAAACUAACACAUUCAGGAGGAAGAGUAAUUUUUUGUGAGUUUCUGCUUUCUUUUUCAUCUCACUGUAUACAGGGAAAGAUCUGACUUUUUGUGAAGAUUAAGUCUCCCACUACCUGAGGAAUCCUUAAGGUUGAUGAGAAGCAACAGGUUAGGGGGAAAUUGAGCUCAUGUUUUAAUGCUUCCUCUGCAAUUUUUUUAUCCCGAAGUCUGUUCUCAUUUUCAGAGCGUGUUUUACAUCUGUGGUAUCCCUCGUUUUGAUGCUUGGUUUUGAUCUGGGCCUUUAAACUGUAUAAAGUUUCAUUGGACUUUCUCCCUUUACCGUAGUUUCUUAUGUGAUUAAUUAGGUGUGUGGCUUAAAAUGGCAACUGAAACAUCUCCAGGAGUUUUCACCAGGUAGGAACUGCUUUUCCUGUACCAGAACCACCCAACUACCACCCAUGCGGCUCAGUUGAUGCUUCUGUUGCUACGCAGGUACAUUUCUGUUCAGGAGGCUGCCCGUUAACCCUAGGAAUGCCUAAUGGCAAGCAGAAAAGAAGAAAAAGAAAAGAACUUUGUGCUUCAUGUUUAUAUAAUGCUUUGUUCAGGUGCUGAAAGCUGGACUCAGCCCAGCCCAACCCCCAGUUACCCAUUUGGGGUGGGGGAGCUGGAGCUCCGGACGGCUGGGGCCUGGCAGUUUCUGCUGGGAAGUUGGCUCCAGUCGCCGGUGACAUCUAUGCUGUAGGAUUCAAAUUGGGGGUUUGCCCUCGCUCGGUAAGGAGUGAGUCCAGACCCUUCCUUUGGGCCUUUCUCUCUCUGUCUGUCUGCCUUGAAUUGAGAGCGGUUGCCGUGUGCAUCCAUUUGCUAGAAAGGAGUUAAGAGAACAUACCGCAGAACAGGUUGGGCAAGACUGUUAAAACCAGUGAGGAAGCCUCCCCCCUUCCUCUCCCUCCUCCUCUGCCCACCCAACUUCUCCCAGGAUGUUAAAACAUCCUCAGACUGCCCCGCACACACACGCCCCCCUCCAGGGUCUGGCUUCCCGUGUCCUCGUCAGCGCAUUCGAUGUGAAUAAAAUACUUUGUGCAGACAGGAGCCUGUGCGCGUGAGAUGGGCAGGCAGCCGGCUGCAGGCCCCAGCCGGGCCAGCUGUUUCUCAGGCGGCGCGGGUGCCCUCCGUCGGGUAACAUAGGCCCCAUUCAGUGGCAGCAUUCUUGAGCAUGCAUGUAUGGCUCUGUGGGCCCGCGGGGUGGACGGCCUGGGAGGGACGCGGAGGCGGGGUUGGAGACGGAAGUGUGUGUGUGUAGUGUGCACGCAGACGGACGGGGAGGCGGUGAGUUGGAGUCACUGCCGAGGGUGCCAGUAAGUCCGGGGACAUUGCUGCCUGAAGCAUCCGCAGUCAGCUCUGACUUGUGGGACGACCAGGGAGCUCUGGGGAAGCCAGUUGGGGGUCUAAGUCCUGCACAGUGCUUGCAUCCAUUCGCUCCAUAAACACCAUAUAUAGUCACGCCUGAGCUCACUAUAGCACAUCGUGGGGAACCCCUCCUAACGCACAGCCCCUCUGGCACUGAGAAGCAGACUCACAUAGGCCAGUCCUGGUGUGCCGGGGCCUGCUUCUUGGGUGGGGGUGGGGGCAUUUUUCUAUCUUUGCGCUAUUUAGAACGCGUUUCGCUUCCUGGCUCUUCUGAACUGUAUUGUUACAGAAGGAGAAACCGAAUUCCCUGUGUGCAUCUGUUUUCGAACAAAAGCCUUGUUUUUCUUAGUAGCUUUAACAUCUCACACAUUCUGUGUUUUAUGGUCCUGGAUCUCCCGCUGUCUGUUUUUGGAGCAUCUUUUCCCUUUGUGAGGAUGAGCUCUGCCCUGUGAUGGGCUUUGCUUGGUGAUGGCUGUAGAGAAGUUGCCUUUGUGUACCACGUGUCACCUUCAGCUGGCCAGGGCAGGGCAUAGCUGCCCGCAGGACUGACGGCAGCCGUUUUCCACUUGGCAGCACUGAGCCUGUGAGCAGGGAAGAGACAGUAACAAGAAAGAAAUGCAGUUGUUGCAGUUGGUUUUCUUCCCGCAUAAAAUAUCUAGGAUACUGCGUUUCAGCUUGGAGUGGACAGCAUAAGGCACUUGUGGCUCAGAUAAGAGGUCUUCUUCCUUUUCUCCCUCUUAUUUCCUUCCCUUCCUCCCUCCAGCCCCUCACUGCCUUUCUUCUCAGGACAUGUUGUGUAGCUGACCCUUGAGAAAAGAUGAUUUGCCGCACUGGGCUAUUAGGGUAGAGAGACAGAAUGGGCACUUUCUUUCCCUGGUCUCCUCCGAGUGAAUUAUGUCUGUGUGUGACAGUUAAUUGUACCAUCCUUCCCCUUUCCUAAGCUGAUAAACCCCUCUCUGUCUGCUUCCAUCAAACCUCUUCGUUUGAGAGGUUCCUAAUGUAGUGGAAGAACAAAGUGACACUUUUCUUAUUUACUGAAUUCUCUCUCAAGCACAUUCACAGUGCCCUUUAUGGUAUUUUUUAUAACUUUAUUUUUUCAACUUAUAGAAUUGAACUAUUUCAAGUAGGACGAGUGACUGAAGUUAAAAUUUCCUCAAAAACAUCAGUAAGUUCGAGGAGAGAAACACACACAGACUUCUAAAAAGCUGUAUGCGUAUUUAUUCCCAAACUAGGUAGAGCACUUGGAAGGUAAUCUUGGUAGGUGAUGUUUAGAAUAAGAAUCUGGGCAUUGCCAGAGGACAAAUUACCAGCACGGAAACGACAACUGAGUGGUAUGCAAUUGACACAGUAGUAAUCUAUCCCCUAUGUGGUGGUCACUUGUUUUCCUUCUUAGGUCCAGGAUAUUCAGUUGAUGAUGUGUAUGUGAAAAGCUAGCAGGACUGUUUUAUUGGGGGAGGGGUGUGCAAAAUAAAACUGUGAAAAGGCACAAAGAUGCUAAGAAAUCCAGGUUGAAACAUGCCUCCCUUUGAUCAUUUAGGCCCUUCUCUUAGCACUAUUCAUUCUGGCUCUGAUCGUCUUGUCUCUCACAUUUCUCAGUCAACAACAAAUUUGAGGCCCCAGUUGGAGGUUGAGGGUGGAGAAGAGCCACCAGACAGCAACCAGGAAGGAUAUCAGGAUGAGACAAGAAUAGCCGGUUACCAUUGGAGGAAAUUGAGCAAACCGAACAGAAGAGCUCUCUGCGUUAUUUCACACAACUGCAUGUACAUCCACAAAGCUGGCGAUAAAACAUAAAAGCAUGGCCCACUAAGGCAAUGUGGGAUAGGGGCAAAAACUAAAGUAGGGGUGUUUGCUGGUUUCCAGAGGCAGCCUUGUGUAAGAGUUGUUCAUUGUGCUGAUCCUGAGUCAUUCCCAGAAGGUUAGAUUAAUCAUACAUUGAUUCACCACACUCUGCUUAAGGGGAUUGGGAAGUUUAAAAGAUGCUGUAGCGUGACCCAGGGGUUUGAGAUGGAAAAUUAAUUUGAGUACCCUCUACCCUAGCAGUGUGUAGCUACUCUAUGAGUUAACAGGAAGUGUUAGAAUUAACCUUCGGGUAUUGUCAAAUAUGUACUAAAAUAUUAUUUUGCCCAGAUUUGUAGAAGAAAACUUAUUUAUUAGCAGAUUUACAUCAUGUCCAGAUACCAUCAUCAAGUUGUUUAUAUGCCUAAAGUGAAUUUUUUUUGUACUUAAAAUUAAAAGAAUAGAGUGCCAAGGAUUUUUACCUUUUUACAAUAGAUGAUAGAGAAGCCCUGUGGAUGCCCGAGUAGUCAGAUAUCCUAGACUACAGUCCUGUAGAAAAGGUAUCCUGAACUAAGGAAGCCUUAGGUAACUUAAAUAUAUAAACAAGUUAAUUUCAAACCAUGAAUGGAUACAUUGGAAGGAAGGAGUGUUUUUUCCUCUCCAUUCCAACUAUAGACUCAUUCUGAGAACCAUAGAAUGCUAGACCCAGAAGGGACUUGAGGGGUCCUGUGGCCUGGUUUUAUCAGUUUGUCUUCAUUUUACUCAUUAUUAUCAGCAUAAAGUAUUUGCAGACAUUUUCAUGGCAAUUAGUGUCGAAAGCUCUCCAGAGCUGCUAACACUUGCUAAUGGUUCUCACACAUCUUGGUUUUAUCACCAUAAGUAUGAUGGAGCAUUGCUGGACCCAAGGUUUUAAUAAUCAAGCUCAUAAAUAAUAUUUACAUUUUAAAAAUUUCAAAUACUUGAAUAUUAGCUUUACUAGUUACUAAGUUUCAUUCAGUUCUUUGCACUUAGACUUGCUGUAAUGCAGUGUUAACAUAUACAUAAGGUUCGUAUAAACUUCUCUUGCUAAUUCAGAUACAUUUUCUCAUAAGGAAAUUGUUGCUUUGAAAAUUUAAUUAGAUUUGAAAUUUGGUUGUAUGAGUCUCCAUGGAAACUGUAACUCCUGAUUGCCAUGCUGAAGGUGGCAGGUAUUCUCUUAACAAUGUAUGCGUUUUUGACAAGCAAGGAUAAUGCAUAUGAAUUACAUACAAGAAAUGGGAAUUAAUUAGUUGUUUGGGUAUUAGAUGCUCUAGGGAGGUGGAAAGGUAAUAAAAACCAGGACUUAGCUGAUCAUGGUGGUGCAUGCCUGUAAUUCUAGCACGCUGGGAUUACUAGGAUUGAAAGUUUGAGCCCAGCCUGGGCAAGUUAGCCAAGACCCUGUCUCAAAAUUUUAAAAAAUACAAAAAGGGCUGGGGAUGUAUCUCAGUGGUGAGGCACCCCUGAGUUCCACCCCCAGUACCACAAAAGCAAGCAAGCAAGCAAAACCAAAAAACCCCAGGACUUCCCAAGAAGUAAGUAGCGUGUCUGGUGUCUGACCCUUGCGGGGGGUCAGCACAAAGGGGACUUAUUGGAGGGAUGUGACGGAGGACUGGAAGAGCUUGCCUUUGAGAUGGGUGACAACCCCUGGAAGUCAUCUACAGCCGGCUGCAGUGGUGACUCGAUUCGAGAGGACCUGCUUGUGACAUCUGCUGAGUAGGCAGAGCCACAGGGUCAGCCUUAGAGGUUGGGGUGGUCAGCCAGUAGAGCUGGCGGCGCCAGAGAGGGGAGCAUGCAGGCAUGGAUUGGAACAGCUGCUGGCCGCCUGCAGAUCAGCCUCUGUGAAUCACAGGCACAGAGAGCUCAUUUGUGCCACAGGGACCUUGGUGGAGAGAGAACAGGAAGGUCCCGUCCUCGUCCCCCCGCCCCGUGCUCUGAUGCCUCCAGAGCAUUUUCUAGACAUUGCAUUGAAGUGUUGGGCAGUUAGCAUGUCAGUCCAUAACAUGCAUUGUUUUUUUAAACACAGUCCUAAUCUUUCAUUUAAAGUAAACGGAAUUAGUCUGCUUUCAAAGUUGACUAAAAUCAGUUUCACUAGACAUCAUGGGUAGUUUAUAGGGAGGGGAGUGGGGACCCAAAGAGAAUUUACUCAAUUGAUUUUAGAUUGUUAGAGGAUUGAAAUGUUACUUGAUUGCUGGUUUUAUCCAGGAUUUUGAGAUUUUAAGGAAAAGUAGACAAUGCCUGCUUUCAUCCAAGGGAUUCCAGCAGUCAUAUGAGCUAUAUGCCAGCUCCCGAGGGCAGCGGCAGCCGGCAGCCUCUGCUACACAAUCCUGCAGAAAGGAGCUUCAGAGUGGGUGGGAUGUGCUGGCUUGGGGGCCGGGCGUUUGCAUAAUGCUGCCCAUCUCAGGGUUGUGAUGCACGAAUGGGCUAGAGUUUAUUUGGGUGCAGAUUGGUAGAGCUUAAGGAGGAGGCAACACUAGGAAGGCCAACUGGGAGCAGCAGUUUUCUGUGGCACCUAGGAGAAGCUGCCCUAGGACAGGCUGGGGACAGGAAUCAUCUUGUUUAGCUCUCAAGAAGAGGUAACUGAUAGGUGGACAACAUAUAGGAGUCUGAAACCACAAACCUCCCUAGGCAUAAGUAAAUGGAAAGGGGAUUUGAGCUAUAUAAAGGAUGCCAUUUAUAAACUCCCAGAAAUUUCCUUGUAGCUUGACCCCUGUCUUGUGAUGAACAUGACUAUGGUAGAAAGAAACUGAACAAGUUAAAUCACAAAACCCCUACAUGGCAUUGCUUUUAUAUGGCUUUCAGUCUCUGAACAUUGGCUGUUCCAGUUGCCGAUGGGCACGCACAGGCUCUGAUUUGAGGAGAGAGCAUGAGUGGUAUGAAAUCACCUGGCUGAGUGACAGGGACUGCAGGGGCCCUGUGGGAGAGUACCAGCAAGUCGUGAUGCUAAGUUUUCUUUCUUUGUAUGUUUAAUAAUAAAUUUAUCUUAAUUGCCCAUUACUGCUUUCUCUAGUACUAUUCUAAGAGAAUGUUCCCCAUGUUAGCCCCUUACGAAAAGUAAAGAAAUAAUCCUGUUUUAAGGUGUACAUGGAGACUUUAUUGGUUUCCCUAACAUCUUAAAAUUAACAUGUCGUGUGAUGUUUUGGAGAAGUAGACCGUCUCUCUUGGAGGCUACGGCAAGAGGAUCACAAGUUCAAGCCCAGCCUGGGCGACUUAGGGAGACCUUGCCUCAAAAUGAAAAGGGCUGGGGAUGUAACUUGGCACAAAGUCCCAGGUUCAGUCUCUAGUAUUUACAGAAAAACAAAACGUAGGCCCUCACUAAUGCUAAAUUUUUGUUUUCUUUUUUCUUCCUUUUUUUUUGGUCCUAAACUGGGUUCAAGUGAUCCUUCUGCCUCAGCCACCUGAGGAUCUGGGACUACAGACUUGGCCUAGGUUUUUAUUAUUUUUAAAUGACUUGAAAAGAGAAAAAAAAUCCACUCACCAAAAGUAAGCAACUCACAGUGCUGAAUAGCUAUAAAAAUGUUAGAGAAAUUCACCUUUCAGCAUUGAGGCCUUUUUAUUUUCAACUGAUUUUACAGUUGAGUUGUAACUUGUGACCCAGUGCAUUAUGUGAGUGUUGACCUUUCUGCAGGGGAGCCAGAUGUGCGUACCUAAAGGGAUGGAAUGUGACACACCCCGACAACAAGACCUUCAAGAGGCCCUCGAACUUGAAAAGGCCAGAAAGGCCAGAUGCAGUGAGAUCCUUCAUCUUGGGGCUGAGUUUCACCAUUGCUGGGUAGGGAACCAAAGCCACGGAGUUCCUCAGGAAAAGACUUUAAAGUGUGGGCUGCACAGGGGCUGCUCUCUUGCUCCCCACUUUGCAGAGCACCAGGGAGAAUUCUAGCAGGAAGCUCUGCCCCUCGGAGAAGAGUUGGAGCGCAGAUCCUCUCUGGAGUCCUGGGUGCCCUCCAGGAGGCGCUGUCUUCAUCUCGAGCCCCUGAGGUGCUCUGGGGUGCUGUUCCGUAUUCACUUUCUUUCUCCCCUCCGGUUCUCGAAGUUUGGUCUAUUCCCUAAAUUUUCUAGUUUCAGGUUUUUUUCUCCCACCUGUUCUCCUGGGGUUUGGACCUAGGGCCUUGCUCAUGUUGAGCCACACCUCCACUUCCCUAACAGGUUGUUAGUCAAGGUAUUUUAGAUCAGCGCUUCCCGAUUUUUUGGCAUUAGGGACAACUGUAGUUUUGAGGAAGCCAGUGUUUCUACAAACUAGGGGGAGGGGAUGUUUUAUUUAUUUUAUUUUAGUUUCUUUUUGCAAUUAUUAUAUUUCCAAUAUAUGAUAGUUACAUUUCCCAGCACUACCAUCACCACCUCAAGUUGUCAGUCACUAGGUUCUCAUAGGAAACCCAAAACAACCCUUUUAUGUGUAGUUCACAGUAGGGUUCAAGCUCCUAUGAGGGUCUAAUCCCCACCCCCAUUUGACAGAGGUGGAGCUUGGGAGACAGCGGGCACAUGAGUGAUGCGGAGCAGCUGGAAGUGCAGAUAAAGUGGCCCUGGCUGGCCCACCGCUCACCUCCUGCUGUGUAUCCCAGUUCCUAACAGUCCACAGACCUGCACUAGAGCCCAUUCUAGAUUAUGGUUUAUUUUAGCUCUUCCCUAUGUGUGAGGGGAGAGGCGGUGGUAAUUUUUGUUAAGAGGAGACUUUUUGUAUUUCAUUCCAAAAUAGUCUGGUAGGUGGUGUACUGUGGACAGCUUCUUACCUGUCUGUUAAAUUAUAAAAUGUUCCUAAGAUAGCUAGAAAAUGCUGAUGCUCUUUUCUCUGUUUGGACAAAAAGGAUAUCAAUCCACAUAUAAUUAGAUAAAAUAGAAACCUGUACUCUUGGUGUGCUGGCAGAAGCUGAAAUAAAGUGAGAGGCGUCCAGUAGUGAGAGAGGCGCCCUGUGUACCGUCAUCCCCCUAAGUCCACAGAACAUCAGCUCCAGCCCUCCCUGGGCACCAGGGAUGCUCAGGGGCUUGGUUUAGAGUCACCUAGUAUUUGCAUGUAAGCUACACACAUCCUCUGUAUGUGCUGACUCAUCCAUCUGUAGAUGACUCCUGAUAUCUAAUACAGGGCCUGCAGAGCACUGUGGUCACGUGAGAAUAGUGGGGUGCUUCAGCACACAGCAGGGUUUUGGAACUUUUAGGGUCUUACUAUGUAGCCCAGCCUGGCUUUGAACUCAUGGUGAUCCUCCUGCCUCAGCCUCCCAAGUGCUAGGAUUAUAGGCAUGUGCCACCAUGCCCAGCUUCACUUUUUGGAAUUUUCUGGAAUUUUUUGUGGUUGAAUCUGAUGUGGUACCUGCAGGUGGACAGGACUGACUGUAUAUGCUUUGUUUCCUAGGGCUCUCGAUCAAAAUCCUUCAAUGUAUUUACAUAUUUUCAGUAUUUGUUUUCUAAAUUAUUAGCAGUUGUUUCAUAACUGUAUUGCAGCACAAGGAAUUUUUACCUGUGAUGAGAAACAGACCUAAAAUGGGAGGUUUAGAAAAAAAUCUGUUUUGGUAAGUAGAAAUAAAUGAGAAUAGGAUAGGGUAGAAAUCCUGGCUAACUGAUUUUAUAAAAUACAUCCUAUGUGCAUCGAUAGGCUGGCCUUAAUAAAACUGAUGAUGUGGCUAUCCAUGAUAUAAAGAUGAUAGGCUUGUUUAAUUCAGGUUAGGCUAAGCUAUGCUGAGGUAUCAAAUAAACUUUGAAAUCUAAGAGGCUCAGCCAAUAAAAUGUCAUUACGGGGCUGGGGAUUUAGCUCAGUGGCUCUGCCGCCUGCUGCGCAAGCCCAGGGACCUGAGUUUGAUCCCCAGUACCAAAAAAAUACAAAAAAAUAAAAUGUCCUUAUUUGUUCAUAAGUAGGGCUAGCUUGCUCCCCAGCACACUUCCUUCCAAAGCCGCAGCUGGGGAUCCAGGCGGUGGUCAUCUUACAGCGAGCUCCCCUGCAGUGCGCGUGCUUCCAGCCGGCCACCGCCAGGAGAGGCCAGGUGAGACUUUCAGCUUUGCAAACCUUCAGCUGGAAGUGAUGAGCAUCCAUUGUGCUCGCAGCCGGUGGGGCAGAACCAGCCCUGUAAUCCGCCUGACCGUGGCGGCCAGGAGUUUUGGGAAGUGUGGAAAUACACGAGGCUCCUCUCUGGGCAGCGAACCAUCGCUCCACUCAUCUCACCCUGGAAGGCUCAGGGCUGAAGCCCAGAACAUAAUGAGUCCACUGUUCAUUGAGCUACACUUACCAGAAUGUGUCCCCAUGCCGGUAGCAGGGCACCAGGGAACAUGCUGGAAACAGAUUCUUAGGACCUUCUCUGCUUUCAUAGAAACUCUGGACGGUGUAGCUCAGUGGUAGAGUGCUUGCCUAGUGUGCGUAAAGCCUUGGGUUGAUCCCCAGCCCUCCAAAAAAAAAAAAAGACCCCCCCCAAAGGUAGGGCCCAGGAAUCUGUCACACUAAGUGUUCCCCUUGCCUAAAGUUUGAAAGUGACUUCCUGGGUGAAGCAAAGCUCCUCAAGACCUGUUGGACUCAUGAUUGGUGCCAUGAGCUUGAAGCAUUGGUGGGCACUUGCUAGUGUGCACACCCAGGAAAUGCGUGUACAGGAGCACAUAAAAUAGCAAGUACUUGUAUGGCCUUCACGGCUGCUGCUCACGUGCUUCCCACAACAACAUAUAAAGUAGGUAUUGUCAAUGUCCCAUCUUACAGCCAAGGAAACUGAGGCACAGAAAGGUUCCCUAAGUAAGGGCACGUCCCAGGGUCAGGGCACUUAGCAUAGCUGGCAAGUGACAGAGAUGGGAUUUGAACCCAGGCCACGUGGCUCCAGAGUCCACUCCAUAGCUGUUUUGCAGUUCAGCCUGCUGAUCUUUGGAUGGCAACACCCCAGGCCCUGUGGUAAUUUUCUCACUUUUUCUUUAAUGCAGACAGUCUGAGAAUUAGCAGGAAGUGCAGAGCACGGGUGACAGACGGUUCCAGUUUAAGUUCAGCCGUCUUCCCUCGAGCUUCAUUCGUUGGCGGUUUACAUGUGAGGUGGGGUGGUGACAGUGUUGGCCAGCGCUGGGUGUGCAAGGCCAGACAGAAGUUGCCCAGUCUUUUAGAACUGAGCCACAAGUAGAAUGGGCUUGUUAGAGGCAGGACCGAGGAGCUAGUGGGAAGCGGUUUCUCAGCCUUAGGUAUUCCAGGCACAAUAUGAGAACAUCUCCGUGUAACCCGUGUGCCGUCUCCAGGUGUAGGAGAGAGGCCCUGUUAGCCUUCCCUUCCCUUUUGAUUCUUCUCUGGCCCUUCAUUUUCCUUCCUCCAUCUGCCAUCUGAGGCCCAGUUCCAUCAGGUGGACUGCUCAAGGUUUCUCUUAUGAGCCAGACUCUAGUUUUAAUAGAGGAAAUGUGUUUUCCAGGAAAUGGGAUAAAAAAGUGUUCUCUCCCUUCCACUUGUGAGAGUUAGAGGGUAUUUAAUCAUUUGAAUUUUGAACCCAUCAAAAGUUUCUAAAUGACAUUGGGAUCUGCUUGUUUCCUUGCCUUCUUCUAUAAUCUGUGAUUAGCUUGCUGCGUUUUCUUUCUUCCAGGUGGAUCUGUGAUUCGUUGCUGUUUAGGUUCCUUGCUGGCCAGUGUGUUUCCUUGGCAGCUUUGCCAGGACAGUACCGGCUUUGACUCUAGGUAGGGGAUAAAGAUAGCAUCACCCCUUUUGGGUUUCAUGUUGGCUGGGAACAGCUGCCAGGCUUUGUGUAGCCCCGAACAUAACAUUUCAUUCCUGAAUUGCUGAAAUUUUUAGUUUUUGGCAAGCCAGUUUUUAACCAUGGGGUUCUGACAUUCAGACUCAGAGUGUAGAAUUUUUCUUUGAGAAAUACUGCUUGUCUUGGCAAUUUAGUAGUGGACAAGACCGAGGUGGUAGAGAACAGAGCUGCAGAGUGAGAGGGAGGAGGCUAUUUGCAGAAGUUGUUUUAAAGCUCUGUGCACUUCUCACUUGAAAUGGUUCGAUUUGCUUAGGUACUGCAACAGAGGUGUAGAUAAUUGAGGGAAAUCUUGCGUCAAAUCUAAACAAAAAAAGAAAGAACUGACCUAAAAGUGAGCAGCCGAACUCACCCGAAUGGAAUCACAGAUUUGCCCAGACCAGCUGAACCUGAGAGAACAGGCCAGCGGCAUGGCACUGCUUGUGGGGGACCUUGUGCCCCUCUGAGAGGGACCCCAGGCAGUCCCUGUGGGUCUCCUGCAGCAUUCUGUACCAAGCCACGAAAAGAAAAUGGGAAAGCCAUUUGGAGCUGUGUUUUGGGAGGAUGUUUUCCCUCCCCUGGGAGACCCGGCACCUUGGAUUGCUUGCUUACUGUUUAGAAGAAGAGCUACGUGUGUGAAUUGGGAAUCAGUUGAAAACAAGUGACAGCCCUGCCUCUGACCCCUGAAAUAUAAGAUGCGCCCUCUGAAAUAGCAGUUUUCCUCCAGCUCUCCAGGGUAGGAAGCAGGAUGCCACAGGCACCCUGAGUGGGAGGGGCAGUCAGAAGCCACUUAGCUGCUCCGUGGACGUGGACCCGUUCCUGACACAGGACCUUGAGGUCACGUGGCUGUAAAUACCUGAACACCCAGAGCCUCUCAUCUGUUCAGCCUCAUCCUCCGGGCUGCUGGCAGGGAGGGAGGCCUUUGUUUAUCUCUGAUCCACCGCUGAGCUGCCUGGCCAGCUCCUGGGUCCUCUGCUGCUUACAUCACCAGUUCUCCCAUCUCUUCUUCCUCCUCAGCAUUUCAGUGCCUACUAUGUGCUCAAGAUCGAGGCCAGGCAGCUUGCAAGUGUGUUUCUCCAGGCUGCCCCUCCGAGGAUCUUCUUCCUGCUCUUUCAUCUUCUGACUCAGGCAAAGGCUCUGCCCCCUGGACAAGAGUCUUCCCACUUAUCUGGGUGCCACCUUCUCCUCCCCCUGCGGACCUCAGGACCUCCCGCCUGUCCCUGAGGCUUGACAGGGGUGUUCUUUGUGUCCCGUCCUUGAGUCUCAGCAG
rnacentral:lncRNA from 1 species